GCGAUCGUGGCGAAAUGGCAGACGCGCUAGUUUCAGGUACUAGUGCCGAAAGGCAUGCCGGUUCGAGUCCGGCCGAUCGCA
rnacentral:tRNA from 1 species